AGCGCGCGUGCGCAGUCGGGCCGUAAACAAGCCCGCCCCGUCCCCUCGGCCCGCCUCCGUGGGGCUGGCCCGCGGGUGGGCGGGGCCAGAGGGGAGAGGCGGGGGGAGGAGAGCGAACGCCGGGGACGGCGCCUGCGCGGUGGGCGUGAUCCGGGCACUUAGGGCAGGAUGAACGCUGCUUUCCAAGAUGGCGACGGAGGGAGGAGGGAAGGAGAUGAACGAGAUUAAGACCCAAUUCACCACCCGGGAAGGUCUGUACAAGCUGCUGCCGCACUCGGAGUACAGCCGGCCCAACCGGGUGCCCUUCAACUCGCAGGGAUCCAACCCUGUGCGCGUCUCCUUCGUAAACCUCAACGACCAGUCUGGCAACGGCGACCGCCUCUGCUUCAAUGUGGGCCGGGAGCUCUACUUCUAUAUCUACAAGGGGGUCCGCAAGGCUGCUGACUUGAGUAAACCAAUAGAUAAAAGGAUAUACAAAGGAACACAGCCUACUUGUCAUGACUUCAACCACCUCACAGCCACAGCAGAAAGUGUCUCUCUCCUAGUGGGCUUUUCCGCAGGCCAAGUCCAGCUUAUAGACCCAAUCAAAAAAGAAACUAGCAAACUAUUUAAUGAGGAAAGACUAAUAGACAAGUCACGAGUAACCUGUGUCAAGUGGGUCCCCGGCUCGGAAAGCCUUUUCCUAGUGGCUCAUUCGAGUGGGAACAUGUACUUGUAUAACGUGGAGCACACUUGUGGCACCACUGGCCCUCACUACCAGCUCCUGAAGCAGGGAGAGAGCUUUGCCGUGCACACUUGCAAGAGCAAAUCCACGAGGAACCCUCUCCUUAAGUGGACGGUGGGCGAGGGGGCCCUCAAUGAGUUUGCUUUCUCCCCAGAUGGCAAGUUCUUAGCGUGCGUGAGCCAGGACGGGUUCCUGCGGGUAUUCAACUUUGACUCGGUGGAGCUGCACGGUACGAUGAAAAGCUACUUUGGGGGCUUGCUGUGUGUGUGCUGGAGCCCGGACGGCAAGUACAUUGUGACGGGUGGAGAGGACGACUUGGUGACAGUCUGGUCUUUUGUAGACUGCCGAGUAAUAGCUAGAGGCCAUGGGCACAAGUCCUGGGUCAGUGUGGUGGCCUUUGACCCCUAUACCACUAGUGUGGAAGAAAGUGACCCUAUGGAGUUCAGUGGCAGUGACGAGGACUUCCAAGACCUUCUCCAUUUUGGCAGAGAUCGAGCAAAUAGUACACAGUCCCGGCUGUCCAAACGGAACUCUACAGACAGCCGCCCCGUAAGUGUCACAUACCGGUUUGGUUCAGUGGGCCAGGACACACAGCUGUGCUUGUGGGACCUCACAGAAGACAUCCUUUUCCCUCACCAACCCCUUUCGCGAGCAAGGACACACACGAAUGUCAUGAAUGCCACAAGUCCUCCUGCUGGAAGCAAUGGGAACAGUGUCACCACGCCCGGAAACUCCAUGCCCCCUCCUCUGCCGCGGUCCAACAGCCUUCCCCACUCAGCAGUCUCCAAUGCUGGCAGCAAAAGCAGCGUCAUGGAUGGCGCCAUUGCUUCUGGGGUCAGCAAGUUUGCGACACUCUCACUACACGACCGGAAGGAGAGGCACCACGAGAAAGAUCACAAGCGAAACCAUAGCAUGGGACACAUUUCUAGCAAGAGUAGUGACAAACUGAAUCUAGUUACUAAAACAAAAACGGACCCUGCUAAAACUCUGGGAACGCCCCUGUGUCCUCGAAUGGAAGACGUCCCUUUGUUAGAGCCACUGAUCUGUAAAAAGAUAGCGCAUGAAAGACUGACGGUAUUGAUUUUCCUUGAAGACUGUAUAGUCACUGCUUGUCAGGAGGGAUUUGUUUGCACGUGGGGAAGGCCUGGGAAAGUGGUAAGUUUUAAUCCUUAAUGCUGCACCGGAUCUAGACUUGAAUAGGUAGUAACUGUUUUUUCUCGAGGGGGGGUGGGGUGUACAAUGAAUGUGAAUGACACUUCUGAUUCUUGAUGUAAAUCCAAAUGCAUCAGAGCCAUAAUUUUGGAUACUGCAUGCCAUGUAAUUCCGAAUCAUUUGAUAAUUCACCUGAGAGCAUUUAAAAAUAUAAUCAAGCGAGUUGCCAGCCAGGUCAGUCAUCCUCUUGGGAGCGUAGAGUCCCAAGGCCAGCACUCCUGUGUCAGACUAUUUCAGGUGUAGGAAAAUCAUGACAGUGUUGGGAAACGAUGACUUUAAAAUGCUACAAUUAAAAUCGAUGCUUUAACUGGAAUACUUUUGCUUAACUACUCCAUUAGAGUAUUGUACACCUGAUCAGAGUGUGUGUUCAGUACAAGGGGCCGUUGCCAUUUAUAGUCCACUUUUUUAUCUUAAUCAUAAAACUGUUUAGGAGUCUAUGAAAUUUAACGUUAGGGACAAAGCGUUCAGGGUUGAUUGAUAUUAUUUUUACAUUGUUCUGGCAAUCCACAGAAGGAGAAGAGCCUUAAUUUUUAAAACCCAUUUUAGUCAUUUUAUGACAAUUAAAAUUGUUUAAUAAACAUCUUUUUUCAAAGAAGCAGUUUGUAGAACUUUGAUUGAGAUUCUGUGCACUAAAGUCUUCACAUGACCCAGAGUCUGGACAGAGAGUGAACUGUGGGCUGAGGUCGCCAACAGCUGUUGUCAGAAGUGCCUCUUGCCGCAUGAGCCAAGACCUUUGACCUCAGAUGCACUUUACAUACUUUUUUUUUUCCCCAGUGAGAGAAGAGGAGGGUUCUUUGUAUUUUGCUUUGUUUGGUUUUGUUUUUGUUUGGCUCAGCAAGACAUGUGACUGCAGCCUGUGGCAGCGCUGCCUGACAGGCACCUGCUUGGGUUCAGUCUCCCACAGGGGACGCGCAGGGCAGGCUUUGCUGUCCCCUCUUCCUGGAAGGCAGUUGUGACUCUGCCAUUACUCCUGGGACGCUGAUGCUGCCCGGCACCUCUGCAGGGCCCCGGGGCCUGCGGCCGUUCAGGAGUGGGGCCGCGUGGCCUCCUCUGCCCCCGGGAGGCUGUGCUGCAGGACUGGGCUGGUUCCCUCAGGAUCGCUGUCAGCCGCGGAGGGGCUUUUCGAAUCCCAGUUUGCACAGUGGGUGAGCCGGCAGAGCACUUCUGCAGGCAGGAGGACAGAGUGCAAGGUGUUCUCCAAGACCAGAACUAAGGUGCCCGGCAGCCGGAGAGAAGAGGGCCCUGCAGAGAGGGGCGGGCGGGCCCCUGCUUGGAUGUGCUGCUGAGUCCUGGCUCCCACAGACCUGGGAGGGGUGGGGCGGGCAGGGCAGCCACGCUGGCUCCUGACCGCGGAUGUGUGAGGUACAGUCAGUGCCACGCCACCUCCAGUGACUGCCAGGAGAACCGGGGGGAACACCUUCACAAUUUUCUCACUGAACUUUGAGCUUCCCUGUGAGUUUUUCAGCUCAGAAUUGAAUAUGGGUGAGAAUAUCUUUCUCUGACCUAAGCCUUGGAAUAAAUAAAACCCAGCAAUUGGAAGAGGAGGCCGUCGUUCCUUGGUCAGCACUGCUUGGCCGUUGUGUGCUGAGCCGCGUACCUGGAAGGCUCAGACAGCAGUCAAGUGCAGUACCGCCUGACGGUCGUCCUGGGCCAAGGUGCUGGGGGCCCCUCGGCUUGCCCUGCCCCGGCUCGCCACUUUUAGACCUUCCGGUAGGUCCAGAGGCCAGCUCCACGUGGUCAUUUCCAGCAGGCAGGCCAGCCCUCCCCGAGAGGCUAAAGGAGGGGGUGUGUAAGAGAGAGCAGGCAGACACCUUAAAAAUACUGGAGCAUUCGGGCUCUGACGUUACGUGCGUACGUGGUGGCACAGAGCCUGAGCUGUGUGCUGCUUGAAUCUUGCAGCAGUUCGGAAGUGUCCUUGGAGCCGUGGGCCUGGGACUGAGGGAACUGCGCAGCUGAUGGUGGUCUCAGACGCUCCAGUACCAGGAGGGGCAAGGCUCUGCCUUCUUCCAGCCCCACAGCAGGCAGCCCCUCCCCCCACCCCACUCCUGUGGCGCAUCUGGACUUUUUAAGUAUUAGAUUCACCCUCAGUCCUGCCACGCACCUGCAGCUGAGUGCGAGGCCCCCUUGCAGCCUGCCUGGGAGAGGCCGUCUUUGCUGAGCGAGCUCAGUGUGAGGAGCGGGGGGAGCUGACCGCCAGCGAUAGACACAAGCGCCGCGUCCUGUUCCUGCAGAAGAGCUGGAAGCAGGCUGCACCCGAGGCUUCUGCGGGGGAAGGAUGUGUCUUUUCUGUGGGUGAGGGCUUGGCUGAGGGGCCUCCACGCCAGGGAACGCAGGGAAGGAAGCAAGUGGCUCGUGGCAGUGGCUGCGCCCGGUGUUGAGGUCAGCCCGCAGCAGCGGGACUGCACGCCUGUGUAGGCCUACGGGGCGCCCUGAGACACUGAGGGUUACCCUGGGCCACGGCAGGGAGCGGCCACAGGGCAGAGCUGGCAAGGCCUUUCCCUGUCCAGAGUGCCCCGCACCCAGGGCUGAUGGGGACCUCAGGUCAUGACCCAGACUGGUGACCGCUGAAAGGCACAUGCGCUCACCCGUCGCCUUCGGGACCGGGCUCACGAGGAGCCGCGCCGGCGCCCUGCUCACCCACGCUGCGCCUGCUGCAUCCACCUCGGGUCCUAGUCGAGUUGUUGUCUCUCAGUCUAAAAGUGUAAAAGAGAAACCCCCUGCAUAAUAUGCAGAGCUCAUUGAAGACUGUUACCUUAGGUAAAAACACUGUAUGAAAUUGUAUGAAUAUUAACUUGCAGUGGAAAUCAAAAGAAAAAUCCACAUGUAUUUAUUUCCUUUUUAAAAUUUUCAUCUUAACUUGAAUAAAUUUCAUAAAGAGCCUUCCUAACAUGAAAUAUUGGUAAAUUUUUAACUCUUGCAAUAAUUAAUGAAGCUUUAAAAAUGUCAGUGUUGUUGCUUUAUAAACUUAAGAUCAUGUUUCUGUUUCACUGCUUUGUUUUAGCUGUUCCCUUGUCACUGUCACAGCUGAAGAGGUUCACUACGUACUUGGUAUUCUGACGUACUUUUUGAGGCUGUCCUCUGUAUAUUGACAUUAAAUAAACAUGCGAGUGAAUUGUAAA